AGAGUUUGAUCAUGGCUCAGGAUGAACGCUGGCGGCGUGCCUAAUACAUGCAAGUCGAGCGCGAGAGUGAGGAGCUUGCUCCUUAAUCUCGAGCGGCGGACGGGUGAGUAACACGUAGGCAACCUACCCUUGAGAUUGGGAUAACUACCGGAAACGGUAGCUAAUACCGGAUACGACUUUUCCGCAUAAGUGGAAUUGUUAAAAGGCGGAUUUAUCUGCCGCUCAUGGAUGGGCCUGCGGUGCAUUAGCUAGUUGGUGAGGUAGUGGCUCACCAAGGCGACGAUGCAUAGCCGACCUGAGAGGGUGAUCGGCCACACUGGGACUGAGACACGGCCCAGACUCCUACGGGAGGCAGCAGUAGGGAAUCUUCCGCAAUGGACGCAAGUCUGACGGAGCAACGCCGCGUGAGUGAUGAAGGGUUUCGGCUCGUAAAACUCUGUUGUUAAGGAAGAACACUUGAGGUAGUAACUGGCCUUGAGAUGACGGUACUUAACCAGAAAGCCACGGCUAACUACGUGCCAGCAGCCGCGGUAAUACGUAGGUGGCAAGCGUUAUCCGGAAUUAUUGGGCGUAAAGCGCGCGUAGGCGGUAAAAUAAGUCUGAUGUGAAAGCCCCCGGCUCAACCGGGGAGGGUCAUUGGAAACUGUUUUACUUGAGUACAGAAGAGGAGAGUGGAAUUCCAUGUGUAGCGGUGAAAUGCGCAGAGAUAUGGAGGAACACCAGUGGCGAAGGCGGCUCUCUGGUCUGUAACUGACGCUGAGGUGCGAAAGCGUGGGGAUCAAACAGGAUUAGAUACCCUGGUAGUCC
rnacentral:rRNA from 1 species